GCAGGUCAUUAAAGACUUAUCUUCUUCAAAGUCCCGAACUCGAAUGACCCGCAAACAAAUGCUCUGGGUCCGCGGCGAACCUCCUCUAGCCAGCAAAGACAGAGUCUAUCCGGCAUCCGGUCAGCGCUCCUCGGUGCCCAACACUUUAAAAACUCUAAAUAACUUUGCCCUAAAAAAACAUCUUUUAAGCACAUAAAACUUUGCUGGGUUGGGUCUUGAUUCUGGCUUCCCUUAGAUCUCCCACAAAAUGCCUUAAUUUAUGAAUAUUUUACAAUUCCCCCAAUCACAAAUCUUUGAACACACAUUGCACCCUUUGAUAUUACAAAGGUCUUGCCUGUUGGAACAAUUUUAUCACCUCUCAAGCCCCUUUUUUUGUCCAAACUGGCUGGUGCACUCAACUUGGGAACCUCUCUCAAACACCCCCCCCCUUAUUGUUGGGACAAUAAAAUUGAGUUACUUAC
rnacentral:misc_RNA from 1 species